rnacentral:rRNA from 1 species
UACAGAGGAGCCAAGCGUUGUCCGGAUUGACUGGGCGUAAAGCGCACGCAGGCGGUCGGGCGCGUGGGGUGUGAAAUCUGGCCGCUUAACGGCCAGGCGCCAUCCCAUACGGCUCGACUGGAGUGAUGCAGAGGUCGAUGGAAUUGCCGGUGUAGUGGUGAAAUGCGUAGAGAUCGGCAGGAACACCCAGGGGGAAACUAGUCGACUGGGCAUCUACUGACGCUGAGGUGCGAGAGCGUGGGGAGCGAACCGG